AUUGAACGCUGGCGGCAGGCUUAACACAUGCAAGUCGAGCGGGGUGAUGGUGCUUGCACUAUCACUUAGCGGCGGACGGGUGAGUAAUGCUUAGGAAUCUGCCUAUUAGUGGGGGACAACAUCUCGAAAGGGAUGCUAAUACCGCAUACGUCCUAAGGGAGAAAGCAGGGGAUCACUUGUGACCUUGCGCUAAUAGAUGAGCCUAAGUCGGAUUAGCUAGUUGGUGGGUAAAGGCCUACCAAGGCGGCGAUCUGUAGCGGGUCUGAGAGGAUGAUCCGCCACACUGGGACUGAGACACGGCCCAGACUCCUACGGGAGGCAGCAGUGGGGAAUAUUGGACAAUGGGGGGAACCCUGAUCCAGCCAAGCCGCGUGUGUGAAGAAGGCCUUAUGGUUGUAAAGCACUUUAAGCGAGGAGGAGGCUCUUUUGGUUAAUACCCAGAAUGAGUGGACGUUACUCGCAGAAUAAGCACCGGCUAACUCUGUGCCAGCCGCCGCGGUAA
rnacentral:rRNA from 1 species